rnacentral:rRNA from 1 species
AUGAGCAUCUCCGUGAAUGGGCAGUCGGUGGUGCCGCCGGGGUUCCGGUUCCACCCAACGGAGGAGGAGCUGCUCACCUACUACCUCGCCAAGAAGGUGGCGUCCCAGCGCAUCGACCUCGACGUCAUCCGCGACGUCGAUCUCAACAAGCUCGAGCCAUGGGACAUCCAAGAGCGGUGCCGGAUCGGAACUGGCCCGCAGAACGACUGGUAUCUGUUCAGCCACAAGGACAAGAAGUACCCGACGGGGACACGCACCAACCGCGCCACCGCCGCCGGGUUCUGGAAGGCCACCGGCCGGGACAAGGCCAUCUACUCCGCCGCCGGGUCCGGCCGCAUCGGCAUGCGCAAGACGCUCGUCUUCUACAAGGGCCGCGCCCCGCACGGCCACAAGUCCGACUGGAUCAUGCACGAGUACCGCCUCGACGACGCCGCACCCGUCAACCCCACGGCCGGCGAGGCCACCUACUACUCCAGUGACUCAUUCCCGAUACAAGGCCUAGCCGGCGAACAGCCGUCGGCGCCGGAGGAUGGGUGGGUCAUCUGCCGGGUGUUCAAGAAGAAGAACAUCGUCGUGCAGCGCCAAGCUGGCCAGAACCGCGGCGGUGGCGGCGCAGCGUUCAGCAAGCUAGUCGGCGCCGGUGCCAUGGAGAGCAGCCAGAGCAACUGCUCGUCGACGUUGACGGCUGGCAGCGACCGCGCCAAGGCGCAGAUGAUGCACUGCUCCGCCAGCGACGACGGGCUCGACCACAUCCUCAGCUACAUGGGCCGCUCAUCCACGGCAUCGUGCAGGCAGGAGACCAAGCCCACCAACCCAUCAUCGUCAGCGUUGGACCACCUGAUCAACAGCGCGUGCCACAGCGGCAGCAGCACCCUGUACGACAAGUUCAUGAAGCUCCCGCCGCUCGAGCACGUCGUCCCCAACGGGAUCCUUCCGCCGCCGGCCGAGUACGGCGGCGACUGGGACGAUCUUGACCGGCUGACGGCGUACGAGCUCAACAGCCUCUCUGACCCCACGUUGGUCAAGACGACGAACGGCAUGUCCUAUAUCGCCGACGAGCUCGGUGGCGCCACCUCCUACUCUGGCGGUGUCUCGCUGUACACUCCCUCCGUCACCGGGGCCGGCGACGGCGACCUGUGGAGCCUGACGCGGCCGGUGUCCAUCGCUACACGCAGACUUGACGAGGUCCUGUUUUAA